UUUUUUGUGCUAAGGAUAAUUAAUUAGAAAUUAAUUGCGUACGAGAAAUCGUUUCUCUCCCAUUUUCUCCUAUAUAUUCUCUCCCAUCUUGUACUGUUUUAUUGAGCUGUGUGUGCACCCUAACAUUUGUUGGAGUGCUUCAGCUAGAAAUGAAAGCUGUACCUCUUCUUCAGGGGCUCGGCGAUCGCGAAGAUCGUCGGGGCAAAUGUUAUGAAGUACAACAACAUAUUUGAGACUCGAGUGACAAUGUAUGUAUACGAGGAAAUUAUCAACAACGAAAAAUUGACCAAUAUAAUCAAUACUAUCCACGAGAAUGUUAAAUAUCUACCUGGUCACAAAAUUCCGGAAAAUGUGGUUGCCGUGCCCGACGUUGUGGAGGCAGCGAAAGAUGCCGACAUCCUCAUCUUCGUUUUGCCACAUCAGUUUAUUCGCACAUUAUGUUCAACGCUGUUGGAUAACAUAAAACCAACUGUAGUUGGCCUUUCUCUCAUUAAGGGUUUUGGUCGAGGUGAAGGAAACAGUAUUGAGUUAAUCUCCAAAAUCAUCGAAAAGCAUUUGAAAAUACAAUGCAACGUUUUAAUGGGCGCCAACUUGGCCAAUGAAGUCGCCGAGGAGAAAUUCUGUGAAACCACAAUCGGGUGCAAGGACAAAAGAUUGGCACCGGUACUGAGGGACCUUAUUCAAACUCCAAACUUUCGAGUAGUUGUCGUGGAGGAUUGCGAGACUGUGGAAGUAUGUGGAGCUCUAAAGAAUAUUGUAGCGUGUGCAGCUGGUUUCGUAGACGGCCUCGGAUUAGGCGACAACACGAAAGCUGCGGUGAUUCGAUUAGGACUGAUGGAGAUGGUCAAGUUUGUCGACACUUUUUACAGUGGUUCUAAGCUUUCUACAUUCUUCGAGAGCUGCGGCAUUGCGGAUUUGAUUACUACUUGUUACGGAGGAAGAAAUCGCAGAGUCUGUGAACAAUUUGUCAAGACUGGCAAGACUAUCAAAGCAUUGGAAGAUGAACUGCUGUCCGGGCAGAAACUACAAGGGCCAGCAACGGCAGACGAAGUCCACGAUAUGUUGAAGGCGCGUAACUUGACGGACAAGUUCCCGCUGUUUACUGCAGUGCAUCGUAUUUGUACUGGUCAACUGCGCCCGGCGGAUCUGAUCGACCAGAUUCGGAGUCACCCUGAGCAUGUGUUCGCUCCAAAGACUCUCUUUAUGUACUGAGUCCUCUUCCUUCUUAUUAAAUUCUCGAGUACAGAUUAUACUUGCCUCUAUACUACACAAUUCUUACUUCUUGUACACGUGAAUAAUUACACAAAAUAUAUGAAAAAGAAUGAGAUUGGAAGAGGGAAAUACAUAGUUUAUGCAAAAUACAUGAAUUUAACACGAGGUGUAGAAACAGCCUAUGAUAUCAAGAAGGAAAUGAUUUAGCCACCAAAGGCUUCUACAUAAUUUAAACGUCCCCAUUGUAAUCUUAUUAUUGUA